CUCUAGCUGCCCUGGGCACCCUGGAGUUCACACUUCUUUUUGAAGCGGACAACAGUGCCCUGCAUUGCACGGCUCAUCGUGCCAAGGGCCUCAAGCCAUUGGCCUCAGGCUCCGCGGAUGCCUAUGUCAAAGCCAAUCUGCUGCCAGGGGCCAGCAAGGCCAGCCAGCUUCGGACACACACCGUUCGGGGCACGAGGGUACCUGUCUGGGAGGAGACACUCACCUAUCACGGCUUCACCCGCCAGGAUGCUGAGUGCAAGACCCUUAGGAAUUCUUUUACUCAGGCCCACGGGAGGAGCUGGCCCAGAAGACGCUGCUGGUGUCUGUGUGGGACUAUGACCUAGGCACGGCUGAUGACUUCAUUGGCGGGGUGCAGCUGGGCAGCCAUGCCAGUGGGGAGCGCCUGCGGCACUGGCUUGAGUGCCUGGGCCACAGUGACCACCGCCUGAAGCUGUGGCACCCGCUGGACAGCAAGCCUGUCCAGCUCAGCGACUAGCCCAUGGGCCCUGCCUGCCGCCCCUCCACUACAGCUGCCUGAAACGUCCCCACAAAAAUGAUGGCGGCUGGGGCUGCCUUACCCUCAUGCCCAGCCCCAAGUCAGAGAGGUGUUUCCUCUCUCCCCGCUUUCACAUUCACCCCACCCCAAAUCAUGGAGCCGAAAUAAACAUCUCCUUCAAGCCA
ensembl:lncRNA novel transcript